UCGAGAAUCUUCGGCAAUGGGCGCAAGCCUGACCGAGCGACGCCGCGUGGGGGACGAAGGCCCUCGGGUUGUAAACCCCUGUCGGGGGGGAACAAGGGUGCGCGAAGAGCGUACCUCGAGUGAUCCCCGGAGGAAGCACGGGCUAAGUUCGUGCCAGCAGCCGCGGUAAGACGAACCGUGCGAACGUUAUUCGGAAUCACUGGGCUUAAAGCGCGUGUAGGCGGGCCAGCACGUCGGUCGCUGAAAGCCCCCGGCUCAACCGGGGAACGGGCGCCGAUACGACUGGCCUGGAGGCGGGUAGGGGGAGCCGGAACUGCCGGUGGAGCGGUGAAAUGCGUUGAGAUCGGCAGGAACGCCCGUGGCGAAAGCGGGCUCCUGGACCUCGCCUGACGCUGAGACGCGAAAGCCAGGGGAGCGAACGG
rnacentral:rRNA from 1 species